rnacentral:rRNA from 1 species
AGUAAAUUUUAUGGUCAAGCUACUAAGGGCGCACGGUGGAUGCCUUGGCAGUAGGAGGCGAUGAAGGACGUGGCAAGCUGCGAUAAGCCUCGGGGAGCCGCAAGUAGGCUGUGAUCCGGGGAUUUCCGAAUGGGGAAACCCUGUACGGUGAACCCGUACAACGGCCCGAUGAAUACAUAGUCGGGUGCGAGCAAACCCAGGGAAGUGAACCAUCUCAGUACCUGGAGGAAAAGAAAGAAACCUCGAUUGCGAGAGUAGUGGCGAGCGAAAUCGCAUGAGCCUAAACCAGUACGACCUUCGGGUAGUGCUGGGGUUGUAGGGCCGACAAUAGUAGAGUUACCAAUUCAUUUGUUAGUCGAACCCUCUGGAAAGAGGGGCCAUAGAGCGUGAAAGCCGCGUAGGCGAAAACAGAUGAACUCGAAGUCGGUACCUGAGUACCGCGGGGCACGUGAAACCCUGCGGGAAGCAACGGGGACCAUCCCGUAAGGCUAAAUACUACCUACUGACCGAUAGUGAACCAGUACCGUGAGGGAAAGGUGAAAAGUACCCCUGCGAGGGGAGUGAAAUAGUACCUGAAACCGUGUGCCUACAAGCAGUGGGAGGGCUAUGCCCGUAAGGGAAUGCCUGACCGCGUGCCUAUUGCAUAAUGAGCCGGCUAGUUAUUCUUGUCAGCAAGGUUAAGCGGAAGCGAGCCGUAGCGAAAGCGAGUCCUAAUAGGGCGUUAAGUUGGCAGGAAUAGACGCGAAGCGGGAUGAUCUACCCUUGGCCAGGUUGAAAGUGGGGUAACACCCACCGGAGGACCGAACCGGUGUUUGUUGAAAAAAGCUCGGAUGAGCUGAGGGUAGGGGUGAAAGGCUAAUCAAAUUCCGUGAUAGCUCGUUCUCUCCGAAAUAGCUUUAGGGCUAGCCUCGUGUGAUUUGCAGUGGUGGUAGAGAUCUGAAUGGACUAAGGGGCUUUCCAGCUUACUGAAUCCAACCAAACUUCGAAUGCCACGGACAACCAGCACGGGAGUCAGACGGCGGGGGCUAAGCUUCGUCGUCGAGAGGAAAACAGUCCAGAUCGCCUGCUAAGGUCCCCAAGUUCUAGCUAAGUGGGAAAGGAUGUCGGAACGCCCAGACAGCCAGGAGGUUGGCUUAGAAGCAGCCAUCCUUUAAAGAAAGCGUAAUAGCUCACUGGUCAAGCGGUCCGGUGCCGACAAUUCAACGGGGCUCAAGCUAGACACCGAAGCAGCGGAUGCGUCGCAAGACGCGUGGUAGGAGAGCAUUCUCAGCGGUUUGAAGCGGGAUCGUAAGGACCCGUGGACUGCUGUGGAAGAGACCCUGCCGGCAUAAGUAGCGAUAACGGAGGUGAGAACCCUCCGCGCCGAAAGUCUAAGGUUUCCUGAGGAAGGUUAAUCCGCUCAGGGUUAGUCGGUCCCUAAGGCGAGGCCGAAAGGCGUAGCUGAUGGACAUCCGGUUAAUAUUCCGGAACUCCCGAAAUUUCGUUAUUACGAUGGGGGGACGCAGAAGGAUAGUCCCGACCGCAUAUGGCUAUGCGGCUCGAUAUAUGUAAGCCUGAUCUGAUAGGUAAAUCCGUCAGGUCUUAAGGGUGAGAUAUAAAGCAGUCCCGUAUGGGGCAAAGGGGAUGAUUUCACGCUGCCAAGAAAAACCUCUAAGGAGAAAUUUGGGGAACCGUACCACAAACCGACACAGGUAGACGAGGAGAAUAUCCAAAGGCGCUCAAGAGAACACUCGUUCAGGAACUCGGCAAAUUAACCCCGUAACUUCGGGAGAAGGGGUGCCUCACUAGGGUUUAUAGCCCGAAGAGGCCGCAGCGAAUCGCGCACGGCGACUGUUUAACAAAAACACAGGUCUCUGCAAAGUCUAAAACGACGUAUAGGGGCUGACUCCUGCCCGGUGCCGGAAGGUUAAAGGGAGAGGUUAACCGCAAGGUGAAGCUUCGAACUGAAGCCCCGGUGAACGGCGGCCGUAACUAUAACGGUCCUAAGGUAGCGAAAUUCCUUGUCGGGU